UUACGGCCACAUCACGUUGAAACAUCGAUUCCCGUAUUAUCACCGAUGUUAAGCAACAUCGAGCCUGGUCAGUACCUAGAUAGAUGACCGCUUGAGAACACCAGGUACUGUAAG